rnacentral:rRNA from 1 species
GAUGAACGCUGGCGGCGUGCUUAACACAUGCAAGUCGAACGAAGCACUUUAUUUGAUUUCCUUCGGGACUGAUUAUUUUGUGACUGAGUGGCGGACGGGUGAGUAACGCGUGGGUAACCUGCCUUGUACAGGGGGAUAACAGUUGGAAACGGCUGCUAAUACCGCAUAAGCGCACAGCAUCGCAUGAUGCAGUGUGAAAAACUCCGGUGGUAUAAGAUGGACCCGCGUUGGAUUAGCUAGUUGGUGAGGUAACGGCCCACCAAGGCGACGAUCCAUAGCCGACCUGAUAGGGUGACCGGCCACAUUGGGACUGAGACACGGCCCAAACUCCUACGGGAGGCAGCAGUGGGGAAUAUUGCACAAUGGGCGAAAGCCUGAUGCAGCGACGCCGCGUGAGCGAAGAAGUAUUUCGGUAUGUAAAGCUCUAUCAGCAGGGAAGAUAAUGACGUUACCUGACUAAGAAGCAUCGGCUAAAUACGUG